rnacentral:lncRNA from 1 species
AGAAAAUAACGUUUGAACUCCUUCAAGCAAUGUUGACCUUGGGUGUAUUUGAAUAUAAUGUGUAGGUCCUUUUGGUCAAAUAGCUCUUCGAAUGUUUCGGUUCUUAUACAUCCUUGACUUACAAACUUCCCGCUAUAAGCGUUCAAAUGAAGAUAUAUUUAGGAAAAGAUCCUCGAACGCAUACCAUUAUACAUUUUUUUUUCAUUUCAUUUCUUUCCUUACCAAUCCU